AAAUAACCGCGUCAUUUUUAAAUCUGCUUAAACAAAUGACAAAUCGAAACAGCGCAGACGCCGAUCAUCCGCCAUUCACACAUCGUAUACGCCAUCUUGUUUUGCAAGAAAAUGCAAGAUGAAAUAAAAAAAUGCAAAGAAAUCAUUGCCCUAGACACUCGUUGCUCUCAGAUGAUGCAUACUACAAGAUUAUUCUGUUUUAUGAAACUGAAACUCCGAAUUCUAAUGCAAAUUGUGAUCUUCGAAAUUGAGGUUAUGAAAUUGACAUAACUCUAUUUAUAAACAAUAUGAACGACCGCGUUGGAGUAUAUGAAUGCAUUGGAACCUUGACAUGUGUUUUACUGUGUUUCUCAUCACGAUAAUAGAAAAUCUAGUGCUCAUACUCACGAUCUAAUGAACAUACAGCCAUACAAAAGAUGUCUUAAAGAACUAUGCCUCCACUGACAAAGUGAAUUAAGUUGCCUACUCGAAAAGCAACUUUGCAAGGAAGCAAGUUUACUACCCCCUGAAAUGUUCCCUUGGUACUUGAUGGGAUUAUGUAAUGAAACUGUCAAUAUUACAACAUGACAAGGAUGUUCCUGAUGGCGAUGGGUGAUGACUAACUUUCAAAACUACAAGAUGAACCCCUUCCACUUCUAGAAUGUGAAGAAUGCUGCCAUAUUACUGGCCCAUAUGAUCAUCAUGACAACUGUCUACCGUUGUCUACCCCGAUACAAGGAAAAUUACAAAUGUGUUGCUAAGCUUAAUAUUAGAUCAGUAGAAGCAGUUAGAAGAAUAAAGAAUGGUUCCUGAGUUUUACAAUGACCGACUAACUUUGAUGACUGAUGCAGAUGACUAUGCCAGCAAAAGAUGGAUAACAGAUGUACUUCGAAUAGCAAUAUGACCAAAGCACUACCUUACAUUAUUAAGACUAGAAUAUUGAAUAUAUAAUAAAAGUUUAAGUUGUAAAAUAAUAAUGUG
rnacentral:lncRNA from 1 species